CGGUUAACGGGGAAUUAGGGUUCAAUUCCGGAGAGGGAGCCUGAGAAACGGCUACCACAUCUAAGGAAGGCAGCAGGCGCGCAAAUUACCCAAUUCUAACAGCAUAAGAGAGGUAGUGACAAGAAAUAACAGUACAAGGCAGUUAAAAUGCUUUGUAAUUGGAAUGAUAGAAAUUUAAAUACUUUUUAAAGUAUCAAUUGGAGGGCAAGUCUGGUGCCAGCAGCCGCGGUAAUUCCAGCUCCAAUAGCGUAUAUUAAAAUUGUUGCAGUUAAAAAGCUCGUAGUUGAAUUUUUGCUAAAAAUAACCGGUCUGCUUUUAUUAAUAAAAGUGGUAUCUUGGUGUGUUUUUAGCAAUAAUGUCCUUUGAAAUGUUUUUUACUUUAUUGUAAAAAGCAAUUUUCAGGAUUUUUACUUUGAGAAAAUUAGAGUGUUUCAAGCAGGCUAACGUUUUGAAUACUGCAGCAUGGAAUAAUAAAAUAGGAUUUUAGUUCUACGUUAUUGGUUUUAAGAA
rnacentral:rRNA from 1 species